rnacentral:lncRNA from 1 species
CUACUAUUGGCGGUGGAUACGUCUAGGCCGGUGAGCAUGAGCACAUCGACAAGAGUGGGAGAAGCAGGGCCAUGGCCAAAAACAAAGGCAUUGAGCGUGUCUGACCAGAAAUAUGAUGCAGCUAUCAGCAGUGAUUCAUUCCUAUGCAUAUCGGCAAUGGACAACCUAAUGCAUUGGUCUAGUUUUCGCUCGUCCCACUGAACUUCAUUUGAGUGGCUGACUCUCAAGAACCAAUCUUUCCAUCCCACUGUGGGAUUGAGCCAGGAACGGAAGGUAUCCUUCCACAGAUCUAGAGAAAAAUUCUCGGCUCUAAAGGGGAUUCUGUUUGUUUCUGCGUUAAUAAGAUCGGUGGGAUCUGGAUCCCCUAACGGGCCAAGACAUUGGAGGUGUGGCUGAUUGGUAGGGAUGACAAUUUUAU